ACACUCCUGCGGGAGGCAGCAGUGGGGAAUUUUGGACAAUGGGCGAAAGCCUGAUCCAGCAAUGCCGCGUGAGUGAAGAAGGCCUUCGGGUUGUAAAGCUCUUUUGUCAGGGAAGAAACGGUGAGAGCUAAUAUCUCUUGCUAAUGACGGUACCUGAAGAAUAAGCACCGGCUAACUACGUGCCAGCAGCCGCGGUAAUACGUAGGGUGCAAGCGUUAAUCGGAAUUACUGGGCGUAAAGCGUGCGCAGGCGGUUUUGUAAGUCUGAUGUGAAAUCCCCGGGCUCAACCUGGGAAUUGCAUUGGAGACUGCAAGGCUAGAAUCUGGCAGAGGGGGGUAGAAUUCCACGUGUAGCAGUGAAAUGCGUAGAUAUGUGGAGGAACACCGAUGGCGAAGGCAGCCCCCUGGGUCAAGAUUGACGCUCAUGCACGAAAGCGUGGGGAGCAAACAGGAUUAGAUACCCUUGUAGUCCC
rnacentral:rRNA from 1 species